rnacentral:rRNA from 1 species
UGGGGAAUAUUGCACAAUGGGCGCAAGCCUGAUGCAGCCAUGCCGCGUGUAUGAAGAAGGCCUUCGGGUUGUAAAGUACUUUCAGCGAGGAGGAAGGCGUUGUGGUUAAUAACCGCAACGAUUGACGUUACUCGCAGAAGAAGCACCGGCUAACUCCGUGCCAGCAGCCGCGGUAAUACGGAGGGUGCAAGCGUUAAUCGGAAUUAUUGGGCGUAAAGCGCACGCAGGCGGUCUGUCAAGUCGGAUGUGAAAUCCCCGGGCUCAACCUGGGAACUGCAUCCGAAACUGGCAGGCUAGAGUCUUGUAGAGGGGGGUAGAAUUCCAGGUGUAGCGGUGAAAUGCGUAGAGAUCUGGAGGAAUACCGGUGGCGAAGGCGGCCCCCUGGACAAAGACUGACGCUCAGGUGCGAAAGCGUGGGGAGCAAACA